rnacentral:rRNA from 1 species
CUACGGGAGGCAGCAGUGGGGAAUAUUGGACAAUGGGCGAAAGCCUGAUCCAGCAAUUCCGCGUGUGUGAAGAAGGCCUUCGGGUUGUAAAGCACUUUAGUGGGGGAAGAAACAGCUUGGCCACACCAAGCCUUGACGGUACCCCAAGAAUAAGCACCGGCUAACUCUGUGCCAGCAGCCGCGGUAAUACAGAGGGUGCAAGCGUUAAUCGGAUUUACUGGGCGUAAAGGGUGCGUAGGUGGCUAUUUAAGUCGGAUGUGAAAGCCCGGGGCUCAACCUCGGAAUUGCAUUCGAUACUGAGUGGCUAGAGUUCGGUAGAGGGCGGCGGAAUUUCCGGUGUAGCGGUGAAAUGCGUAGAUAUCGGAAGGAACAUCAAUGGCGAAGGCAGCCGCCUGGGCCUGGACUGACACUGAGGCACGAAAGCGUGGGUAGCAAACAGGAUUAGAUACCCUGGUAGUCCACGCCGUAAACGAUGAGAACUUGACGUUGGUUCGUUUUACGAAUCGGUGUCGCNGCUACGACGAUAAGUUACUCCGUCCGUCGGGUAGGGUACGGGCCGGCCGAGGUUAGGUAAACGUACGUAAAGGUAAAGUUAGUUACGGCGUGAGACGUGCCGACGGCGACGACGAGGGAGGAGG